rnacentral:rRNA from 1 species
CCUACGGGUGGCAGCAGUGAGGAAUAUUGGUCAAUGGGCGCGAGCCUGAACCAGCCAAGUAGCGUGAAGGAUGAAUGCCCUACGGGUUGUAAACUUUUUUUAUAAAGGAAUAAAGUGAGGCACUUGUGCCUUUUCGUACGUACUUUAUGAAUAAGGAUCGGCUAACUCCGUGCCAGCAGCCGCGGUAAUACGGAGGAUCCGAGCGUUAUCCGGAUUGAUUGGGUUUAAAGGGAGCGUAGGUGGGUUAUUAAGUCAGUUGUGAAAGUUCGGGGCUCAACCGUAAAAUUACAAUUAAAACUGGCAGCCUUGAGUGCAGUAGGGGUAGGCGGAAUUCGUAGUGUAGCGGUGAAAUGCGUAGAUAUCACGAGGAACACCAGGUGCGAAGGCGACCUACUAGACUGCCACUGACAUUGAUGCACGAAAGUGUGGGUAUCAAACAGGAUUAGAUACCCUUGUAGUC